UACGUAGGGUGCGAGCGUUAAUCGGAAUUACUGGGCGUAAAGCGUGCGCAGGCGGUUUUGUAAGCCAGAUGUGAAAGCCCCGGGCUUAACCUGGGAAUGGCAUUUGGGACUGCAAGGCUUGAGUGCGGCAGAGGAGACUGGAAUUCCUGGUGUAGCAGUGAAAUGCGUAGAUAUCAGGAGGAAUACCGAUGGCGAAGGCAGGUCUCUGGACAGUUCCUGACACUGAGACACGAAGGCCAGGGGAGCAAACGGG
rnacentral:rRNA from 1 species